rnacentral:rRNA from 1 species
CCUACGGGUGGCUGCAGUGAGGAAUAUUGGUCAAUGGGCGCGAGCCUGACCCAGCCACGUAGCGUGAAGGAUGACUGCCCUACGGUUUGUAACCUUCUUUUAUAAAGAAAUACAGUCAGUCACGUGUUCCUUUUUGUAUGUACUUUAUGUAUAAGGGUAGGCGAACUCCGUGCCAUCAGCCGCGGUACUACGGAGGAUCCGAGCGUUAUCCGGAUUUAUUGGGGUUAAAGUGAGCGUAGAUGGGUUGUUAAGUCAGUUGUGAAAGUUUGUGGCUCAACGGUAAAAUUGAAAUUGAUACUGGCAGUCUUGAGUGUAGGUGAGGUAGGCGGAAUUCGAGGUGUAGCGGUGAAAUGCUUAGAUAUCACGAAGAACCUCAAUGGCGAAGGCAGCUAACUAAAAUGUGACUGACAUUGAGGAGCGAAAGUGUGGGUAGCAAACAGGAUUAGAUACCCGAGUAGUC